rnacentral:lncRNA from 1 species
UUUUAAUAACUUUAUUUGUCACUCCUUUUUCCUUUGUCAAGAGAUCUAAAAGGGAUUCCUUUGAGUCACUUUCCUCACAUUCUAUGACUCUGAAAAAUUCUUUUGAUAAAUUCAUGAUAAUUUGGCGAAUUAGGAGACCGAUGCAGGUUUGGUAUUAUUUUCCUUUUCAUUGUUCAUUAGAUAGGUAUUCUUGUAUCCAUCUUUUUUAUUUUCUCUAUAUUUGUAUCAAAAUUUCCAACUAUGAUCUUUUUUGACUGGCCAAAAUAAAUCAUCUCUUUUUUAUAGUUUUGAGUCCGCUGUAAAAUAACAGCAUCGACAGUUGAUGGAUUAGCCAUUGACCGAAUCCAGAAGAUGUUUUCGAGAGGGCUAUUUGCUGUUUCUCAACACCUGCAACAAACUUCUUUUAGAGGAUGAUGUAUCCUAAGUGAAACAACAAAAGUCACAAAGGUCCUUUUAAAGCCCAUAAGGAAUAGAGUGCUUUGCUUUGGUAGUCACCUUCAAAAAUUUUCCUUCAGAGUUGUGACUUAUUUUUUGGUACAUUCAAACUUUCAAAGUUGUCAAAUUUUUUUUUGUGCUUCACAGUUGUGAAUUGCUUGAUAGCGGGGCACCAAGUCAUUGAAGUUGCCAGGAAAACAAAUUUGUUUGGCACUGAUAAAAAAAAGUUGCCUGGCACCAAGUCAUUGAAGAUAAAUGAAAUUCACAAAUGACGUCUUUUGGAUAAAUGAUCCAAACCUACAAGCAAUUACACCUUCAAUUAUAUGUAUAUUUUAUUUGUUCUUUAUAUUCCCUUAAUACUCAUGACGUUCCAAAAGAAUGUGAUUUUCAAUUACGAAUUCUUAUAGUUAUUACUUCUAGCAAUUAUACAAAUGUAUUAGUAAUUCUAUUAUGGUUUCUGAACAGGAGGGUUAAAUUCUGCUCUUACAAUUAAAUACAGAGUAAAAAAAACUUCAUGUAAGUCUUCAAAAAGGACAAUAGACAUUUGUUGCCGAUGCUCGAUACAUUCAAAACCUUACAAUUAACAUCUCAUGUGGGGAGAGAUUCAUGAUAUCUUGGGCAAAAACGAUGUUGUUAGGCAGAUCCAAGCACUCCUCUCAGAGAGGUACAAGUUUGCAAGUAACUUGCAUGCCCAUGGAAAGCAUGGGCUACCAUAAUAUUCAUGCAAGGGCGCAGUUGCUGCGCGAAGGCCGGUCUUACGAGCAUAUUAAUUGGGUGACUACAUAGGCUAGAAGGACGGAUGUUAUGGCAGGGUGAAUCAUAUACGAAGACGGGUAAUGUGAUGCAAUUAUUGGGCUACCAUAAUAUUCAUGGAGAGCAAAUUAAUUGGGAGGUUGAAACAACUGGGUAAGAAGGUUAAAGAAAAGGUCAUUCACUCUUUUCUCUGCCUUCAGUUAAUGUCUUUUUCAGUUGUUUCAUUCAAAAUUUAUCCUACUUUUCCUAUCACACCUACUUCGAAACUCAUUUAUACAUGUGAUUUGUUUAUGCUAGAGAAGUAUCUACAAUGUUUGUAGGAAUAUAUGAGAAUGAGACAAUAUAAACAUAUUUUAUUUUUGUAAAUGUAAUGCAUAUAGAUGCAUUAAUUUAAAUGAUAUUUGUUGUUUUAAUAUUUCAUACAUGUUUUAUUGUUCUUCUAUUGAGUGUGAUAUUGCUAUACCCUUUUUUUUGUGUGUCAAAACUCAUUGACUGACAUAAAAAAAAAUAUAAAAUGGUAUUUGUUUUGUUUAUUUCAUAUACAAGGUAUGUACUCUCCAAAAACAACACUUCAAUACACAAGUUUUAAAAUUUGUGAUGCAAGCAGUGACAAGAGGAUGUGUUCUCCCUAAUGAUUUUUUUGUUGCUAAUCUGGAAGUGUAUUUCAUCUAUAUAAUUUUUCAUCUUCGUAAUCAUUAGACAACUAAUAAUAAUUUAAAUAUUUUUAUGUACGUUAUUAGUAGUUUUAAGAUGAAUUUUAUGUAAUUUCAGUGUUAACCUCUUUUCUUAUUGUUAAUAUUCCUUGAAUCUGUC